rnacentral:rRNA from 1 species
AGGAAGCCCGGUUCGCCGGGCGAGUACAGUGGCGCACGGGUGAGUAACGCGUGGGUAAUCUACCUCGGUCCGGGGGAUAACGCACCGAAAGGUGCGCUAAUACCGCAUAAUCCGACAGGUCUUUGGGCCGGUCGGCAAAGGUGGCCUCUUGCUCAAAGCUACCGGAUAGAGAUGAGCCCGCGUCCCAUUAGCUAGUUGGUGAGGUAAAGGCUCACCAAGGCGACGAUGGGUAGCUGGUCUGAGAGGACGAUCAGCCACACUGGAACUGGAACACGGUCCAGACUCCUACGGGAGGCAGCAGUGAGGAAUAUUGCGCAAUGGGGGAAACCCUGACGCAGCGAUGCCGCGUGGGUGAAGAAGGCCUUCGGGUCGUAAAGCCCUGUCAAGCGGGAAGAAUAGUCGUAGGGCUAAUAUCCUUACGGCAUGACGGUACCGCUGAAGGAAGCACCGGCUAACUCCGUGCCAGCAGCCGCGGUAAGACGGAGGGUGCGAGCGUUAUUCGGAAUUAUUGGGCGUAAAGGGUGUGCAGGCGGCCGGUCAAGUCAGAUGUGAAAGCCCAGGGCUUAACCCUGGAAGUGCAUUUGAAACUGGUUGGCUUGAGUUCGGGAGAGGAAAGCGGA